rnacentral:rRNA from 1 species
UAAUUAAGUCAGAGGUGAAAUUCCUGCAGCUUAACUGUAGAAGUUGCCUUUGAUACUGGUUGUCUUGAGUUAUUAUGAAGUGGUUAGAAUAUGUAGGUGUAGCGGUGAAAUGCAUAGAUAUUACAUAGAAUACCAAUUGCGAAGGCAGAUCACUAAUAAUAUACUGACACUGUACUGGACGAAAGCGUGGGGAGCGAACAGGAUUAGAUACCCUGGUAG